AUAUUGAACCUUUAAGAGGCCCUUAAGGUCAAAGAAGCAAAAAGAGGAUAUCCAAUAGCAUAACCCCUCCAGCAUAUGCUAUUCAUGCAGGAUAGGGUUAUUCCCUCUAAUACACCAUUGGAAAUGCUUAUAAAAUCAGCUGUGAUUUCAAGCAAAGAUUGCAGUAGUGCAAGAACUGGCAUAUACAGGGUGAGGGGAAUUAGUGAAUAAGCAAACCAGUCAAAGGGCGCCUCUUACUUGGCAGGUAAGUACAGUAUUUUGUGCUGUAAUUAAGUACAUUCAAGGGCUGGUUUCCCAACACUUGGUUUUCACUGACUUGCCAAAGGAGAGUUGCCCUGUGACUGAUUCAGCUUAAUAUCGUAAGAUGAUUGCCCCCACACAGGUCAUUUCAACAGAGAUUGGAGCAUAGUUUAUUUCUUUGAGCAUUGUGAAAUGAGGGC